rnacentral:rRNA from 1 species
UAGUCCACGCCCUAAACGAUGGAUACUAGACGUCGGAGUUCCUAAUAGCUUCGGUGUCGUAGCUAACGCAUUAAGUAUCCCGCCUGGGGAUUACGGUCGCAAGAUUAAAACUCAAAGGAAUUGACGGGGCCCGCACAAGCGGUGGAGCAUGUGGUUUAAUUCGAUGCUACGCGAAAACCUUACCUGGGCUUGACAUCCCGGGCUACCCUGGGAAACCAGGGGUUCCCUUCGGGGACCCGGUGACAGGUGCUGCAUGGCUGUCGUCAGCUCGUGUUGUGAGAUGUUGGGUUAAGUCCCGCAACGAGCGCAACCCUCGCCGUUAGUUACCAGCAUUUAGUUGGGCACUCUAACGGGACCGCUAGGCUAUAAGCCAGAGGAAGGUGGGGAUGACGUCAAGUCCUCAUGGCCUUUAUGUCCAGGGGCUACACACGUGCUACAAUGGAGAGUACAAAGCGCAGCUAGCUCGCAAGAGUACGCAAAUCGCAAAAACCUCUUACUCAGUUCGGGAUCGGGAGUCUGCAACUCGAC